rnacentral:lncRNA from 1 species
GUGCUGAAACGGAGACGUACAAAGCGAGGUUUGUUACAUUCCCACGAUUGCUUAACAAUAUAGAUAACUUGAUAUUAUUAUACAAACCCUCAUUUUGUUGCUAAGAUGUAAGUUUGUGAAGCACUGUUGUGUACCAGCUUCUACCUUCAGGAAUCGAUUGGUCGUUAGCAAGCUAAUGGAUAGCUAACGUUAGUAGCAUAGGGAAGCUAACACUAGCUUCAAAUAGGAUUCACCAUGUUGGAUUGCUAGUGACUAGCAGCAGUAAACGCAAGAUCUGCUGGCGGGAACCGACUGCAGCUACCUGGACAGCUACUGUGUUGACAUUGCAGAGACUAAUAAGAGUUAUUUUUCCGUCCGUCUCCAUCACAGCUCCUGUAGCUAAGCUGCUACGCUACCUUUAGCCGCUCAGAGCUACGAAGAGGGCUGGGAGAGUGGGAGGGGAUGAGUCGGAAACACGGUUGAGGAAUGUGUGGAAUACGGCGAGGUGAUUGGAUGGAGAGACGGAGCAGGAGAUAGACCAAUAAGAGCUGUCCAGGAUGAAUGGCUCCUAUUGGUCAAUGUUUUUGCAGCCCUGCAGCUGCUAUGGUGAACAGAUUUUUUCUUUUUUUUUUUCUCUUCACUUUGUGGAGAUCGCACUAUAAGACCAUGAUCGCCAUGUAAACGAGGUUCAUAAUAGUUACCAAUCUCUCCAAUCGUCAACCAUGCCUUUAAGCUGUAAUGUUUUAUCGCUUGCCUCGCCUUUACUCCGUUGUCAUUGCUAUCAAUGUUUGGAAUGUGCAGGAAACUUUUAUGUGACAAAGAAAAAUACAUGCAUAACAAGCACGACUGCAUCAGCAAGAAAACAAAGAGCUUGUAAACGAAGUGUAAUGGGUGGAGGGUAAUCCAGCUUUAUUUCACAGCUCUGUUGAAUAUUGUGAUUCUGAUAUGACAAACACUCCCUAUUCAGUGACUUAAAAUUGAGUCUGAAAUAGGCAGCAUCUGUAAGCUCACAUCCUUCCCUUCAGCCUGUGUAGAAGCAGCUCUGCAGACGCUCAUUUAGGCCACUUCAGAUCUCAUCCGGUCCAAACAUACAGUCGUUAUCUCCGGGGACGUUUCUCUGUCUUUUCCACACUGCGGUGCACAUGUCGACCCCUUCCCUCACGUGGAUUUGUUAUUGUGAGUGUGUGACGCUGUGAGAUUGUUUGCAUUGGUGACGUCACCUCCCUGAUUUCAUUUGCAUUGAAUAGAAAGACCCUAAUAUCCUGGAGCAUGGAUCCCUCUGAGAAAAGAAGAAAAGACUGCGUCUCUAACAGCUGUGUGUGGUGAGGCACGAUGAGUUUUUGCACCUUGAAGGUUUUUUUUUGGUGAAAUUUAUCUUCUUUACAAAUUCUGCAAAGAUUGCUCAGGUUUCAUAACAUCUUAUUCCUGAUGCUGCCUUAUUGACUCUGAUUAGCAGGGAGCAAACCUGGCUGUGUGUUUGUAUGUGCGCAGGCUUUGACACUGUUUGUUCACACUGUGUAAAAGCGAGCUCCCUGUCGUGCAGUAACAGCCCGUGUGAUGAAGGUGUCUGCCCUUGAACAGCGUGUUUCCCUUUUGUCAUCCUUACAUAAAGUCCUAAUUUUCACCUGGAUUUCCUGACAUGAAUGCGGCUGCGGUUUGAUUUACCGAGGCGGCUGAUUUGUGUUUGCUGCAGAGCUGUGAGGCGCUAACACUCCCCAGACUUGUUCAAGGGAAAAAACCCCACAGAUGGCUUUAAUUGUACAGCAGCUCGAUGAAGCAUGCUCGCCAAACCAAACACUGCUUUAUGACUGAGGAGGGGAGGAGGACUGCAAAGUGUCCAACACACACUGAGACAUGCAUGCACACCCACACACACACACACACACACACACACACAGAGGUCUGGCUGGUGCUGCCUGUCGCUGGCUUUCUGAGUGUUUACUUGCCGUAUGAGGGGGGAUCCUGGGAGGCAGCUAUUUUUAGCUCUGGUUUCAUCAUUCCUCUCUCUCCACUCUGUGUGCAGCUGCAGGCUGGAGCUGCAUCCUAAUGAAGAGACGAGCGGAUGGCAGUAAAACACCUUUUGUUUGCUUCAGAGAGAAAGGCUCCAGCAACUCGGUCGAUACUAAAAUUCAAGAUUAAACGUGGAAGAAGAGCUGGAUGUUAUGGUAAGAAAGUGGACACACAUUUACAUGUAGAGUAAGGUGCAAAGGAAGUUGAGUCCACAGUUGCACAUACUGGAU